GUGUCGGCGGCGCCCGGACCGUCUACUUGAAAAAAUAAGAGUGUUCAAAGCAGGCUCUCGAGCCUGGAUAAUGGUGCAGGAAUAAUGGAAUAGGACCUCGGUUCUAUUUUGUUGGUUUUCGGAGCGCGAGGUAAUGAUUAAGAGGGACAGACGGGGGCAUUCGUACUGUGCCGUUAGAGGUGAAAUUCUUGGAUCGGCGCAAGACGAACGACUGCGAAAGCAUUUGCCAAGAAUGUUUUCUUUAAUCAAGAGCGAAAGUCAGAGGUUCGAAGACGAUCAGAUACCGUCCUAGUUCUGACUAUAAACGAUGCCAACUAGCGAUCGGGGGGCGUUACAUUGACGACCCCUCCGGCAGCUUACGGGAAACCAAAGUCUUUGGGUUCCGGGGGAAGUAUGGCUGCAAAGCUGAAACUUAAAGGAAUUGACGGAAGGGCACCACCAGGAGUGGAGCCUGCGGCUUAAUUUGACUCAACACGGGAAAUCUCACCCGGCCCGGACACAGUGAGGAUUGACAGAUUGAGAGCUCUUUCUUGAUUCUGUGGGUGGUGGUGCAUGGCCGUUCUUAGUUGGUGGAGCGAUUUGUCUGGUUAAUUCCGAUAACGAACGAGACUCUGGCUUGCUAAAUAGUUACGCGACCAUCCCGGUCGGCGUUUAACUUCUUAGAGGGACAAGUGGCGUUUAGCCACACGAGACUGAGCAAUAACAGGUCGG
rnacentral:ncRNA from 1 species